rnacentral:tRNA from 1 species
AGCAGAGCGGCUUAGUGGAAAGAGCAUGGGUUUGGGAGUCAGAGGUUGUGGGUUCUAAUCCCACCUCUGCCA